rnacentral:rRNA from 1 species
AGCGAACGCUGGCGGCAGGCCUAAUACAUGCAAGUCGAACGGAUCCUUCGGGAUUAGUGGCGGACGGGUGAGUAACACGUGGGAACGUGCCCUUUGGUUCGGAACAACUCAGGGAAACUUGAGCUAAUACCGGAUAAGCCCUUCGGGGGAAGGGAUUUAUCGCCAUUGGUAGCGGCCCGCGUCUGAUUAGCUAGUUGGUGGGGUAAAGGCCUACCAAGGCGACGAUCAGUAGCUGGUCUGAGAGGAUGAUCAGCCACACUGGGACUGAGACACCGGCCCAGACUCCUACGGGGAGGCAGCAGUAGGGAAUCUUGCGCAAUGGGCGAAAGCCUGACGCAGCCAUGCCGCGU